UGUGAGCCAGCCCUAUGGGUGGGGAUGGCACCGCCCUACUGCCGAGAGAGUUGAAGCUGCACCCCCGAAAGGAGCCAGCUGUACCUUCACCCAGUCUGGGGGAGUGGUGAGGCACUUAGGGGAUGGGGAGCAAUGCCAGCUCACGAAGGAAGGCUUGGGCAGGGAGGAUCAGGGACACCUGGCAAGGACCCACCCUAUGAAAUCAGGGGCCUCGUCAGUGGGGUGACAAUGUCAGAGUUGUCUAUAAAUCUGGGGGGGAAGCCGCGGCCUCGAGGUGGAAAAGCAGGUGCCGGCGCACCUGUGGACAAAUUCUGGAACGCGUUUGGCGAGGGAGGAAUAGGCGCAGCUCCGGAAGGCAGUGACCUCGAGGCAGCCUCAGCACGGCACUCUCUUGGGUCCUCUUUCAGGCUCACACUGGGCGACAGCGGAGAGGCUCUUGGACGGGGCAGAGCUCGCGCCGAGACCUGCAUGUCUGCGUCUUGUGACGGGUGUGUGGGAAGCCGCCCGCCUGUGCAUCUUGCUUCCGGGUAUUCGCUGGCUGAUUUACUGGUUUUAGAGAUGGGGAUGGGCACCCAGUGCUGGACUGAAGACCAGAGAAGGUGGAGCUCCCUGUGGCCUUGGUCUCACCUCUCUUCAGGCUGGGAGCACACCCGCAGUCCCGCUGCCCCGCCUGGGCUCACGUGGGGGCAUUCAUGACCCAGUAGGCGUCGUCGUCUGAGAUCCAGGGAUUGCUGGGCAGGCACCCCGACACGAGGGGGUCGUGGGGUCCACGCUGGCCGCAGAAACUCAG
rnacentral:lncRNA from 1 species